UUAAUGUUUGUAUUGAUUCAGACACAGGCUAUUCGGCAUAAAUACGGCGCCGAAGCGCCGAAGCACGUUUCGCUUCCACAGGUUUGAAGGGUUGAAGGCCAUAGAUGGCCAUUCAUUAAUGAUCCCUCCGCAGGUUCACCUACGGAGA
rnacentral:misc_RNA from 1 species